UUACCGUGCUUCACUUUCCGUUUUCCAAAAUCAAAAUCGAUCCAGAGACGGUGAUGUUGCUGCCCGUCAUUCUACUGCAUCGCAAUGCCCGCUUUGAGUUAGGUCAAAAUCAACCGUGGGCUGCCAUCUCUCACCUGCGCAGAGUGAGGUAGGCCGAAUCGACCGUGAAUCUUCCAAGUCGCAACUAUUGUGCUCACGAAAUCGACAAAUGUCAACACUUUGAGUUUGUUAUACCUCUGGCAAAAUAUGUGAAGGCUAUAUACCACACCAGAGUAUCUAAUGGCAUGCGCUUUCAGAAGCUGUUUGAAACUAAAGAAUCCAGUGUUCAUUGGAAUAUGGCCACAAUUACUCACAUAAGUGACUUGAAUGCUAUUAGCCGGCCAAAUUCACAUUAGCGUUCUGUCAAGCCAUAGACGUUUCGAAGUCCAUUAAUGGUUUAGAGAUCAAGUAUGUGGAUAUAUCACCAUUGUUGUUUGUCAGCACUGAUCUCGAGAUUAAUGGGACAUAGCUGCCUACAGUACCGGAUUUCAGGCAGAAGAUUGUUGCUGCCGACAGCAUACUCUUUGCUUAACCGGAAUACAUUUACUCAACGACCGAAAACUUUAAUUUACAUAUAUGACACAUAUGUUGUUCCAUUACAGCCUUACAUUAAUUUAGUCCAUAUUUAUUUGCUAUACAACAAAGUCUAAUGUGGUCUUAAUUCGUAGAACCAUUUCAUCUCAACAUGAUUUCUUGUAUGAUAGAAUAAAAUCCAUUCUACA